rnacentral:lncRNA from 13 species
UAUGCACCACAGUCAAUUUAUCCCCUCAUGUUGCAUGAACUUAAACUUGAUGCAUUACUGACACUUUGAAGUCAACACAUAAGUGUCUAAAGGGCAGGGAGUUCUAAUGCAAAGACCCAUUUUCUAUCAAAUCAUGUGACUUAGGCUUCUAAAUCACACUCAAAGAGAUGGCAGCAUAACAGGAAGGAUAGACCUAAAGGGGAAGUAACAUUUCUGAAGAAGAGGUGGGAAUAUUGUGUAUUAAUGGUCUUCUUCAAAUCUCUGUGCUUUGAGUAGAAGUUUUUUUCACCACCCGUAAAGGUAGGAAUGGUGCCGGUUAACGGGCAGGAAGUUGAAAUGUAAAAUCAUGUGAAUUAAGCUGCACUUACGUAUGUCAUAUUAUCAGAAUAUAUUGUUUCUGUUCACACACAUUUUGGAUAAAAUUGUUUAAUCAACCAAAAAAACAAUAAACCACGGAUUGCUGUAAACAGGCGACAAGAUCCUGACCAACUUAAUCAACAUGAACGUAAUAGCCUCAGGUGAUCCCCUGGUCAAACACACACAACCAGACAUUGAUUGAUUGGAGACAGCUUGUUUCAAUUGCAGAACAUUUCCUACCUGCAGCAACACUGGUGGAUAUUGCUGGAAAUACCAGUAAAAACACUGUACCUCCAUUGCGUCUCCAAACAGCAGGGACCUUCCCAUUUGGCUCUGUUCAAAAGCAGUGCAAAAUAUAGGGAAUAGAGUGUCAUUUCAGACACAACCAGUCAGUCAGCCUCAACAGGAACAAUCAGCCUUAUAAAACCAAGAGUGCAGCAUACAGAAAUGGUGUGUUACAAAACAGUAUAUGUUGUUGGGUUAGCUGUCACUCAAACUUUAACUGAUUAACAUUCUGACAUGUCUUAAAUAGUAUGUUGUUCAGCCAGUGUCCACCUAGUGUCUUCUCACUGUCACUAGAGUCCUCCUGUCCUGCUUAUAUUCACAUUACUGAAUGUUAAGAGUAGUACUGCAGUUACACAUAUAUACACUGUGUAAUAUACUGCAUUGUGUGGGGAGAUAUAGGUAACAAGUUACAGUAUUGGGUUGUGGGUAUAAUCAUCCAAGGAACUCUGAACAAAUUGCUCAGAUAAUUGUUAUACUAACAUGUUUUCAAUAUCAAUUAUUAGUAGACAUAUUGGUUAUUAGUCAACUUGCUUUUGUCUUGAUUAGUUUGCUACUGAUUAAUAACAGGAUCUAACAAAUGCGGUUUGAAAUGACCAAAGGAUUUAAA